rnacentral:lncRNA from 1 species
AGAGCGGCAGCGCCUCCCGGUCACUACAACAACGGCGGCCCAGUCAAACCCCGCGCUCCAGGCAUGGCCAGCCGAGCCCCGAGACACCGCCAGCCCUGUAAAGAGAGGACGGGAGGUAUGCGCCGGGUCAGCUGUGGCCACACACCAAGCCAUGUUAACUAACACUCGCGUUCUCCCUGGUUUGAUGUCAGGAAGUGGGGUAGUAACCAGGACUGGAAUAAGAGCGAUGAAUGGAAGGGCGUUGUGAGCCUGUGAUCGAUGCGAUCAGAGUUCUAUUACGUUUUAAAGAGACAGCACCCGUGACGUUUAAGGUGAUCCCCUACCGCUUAUUUUGUUGACGUAAAGCUUUGACAUGAAGAGGGGCAGCUUGCUAGUUAUUAAUAUACUAAAAGGAACUAAAUCCCCUGAGGGCAGAUUUGAAUUUAUUUAACCACUGUUUUCCACACAGUGCCCUGCAGGAUAUUGAUAUAGUUGCUGGAUGUGCGUGAUGAAUGAAUGAGUGAAUGAAUGAAUAAAUGUUGUGCAUGCACUUAAUAAUUUUCUGCGAUAUGUUUCCAUUCUCAUCUGCUUAUUUGCGUAUACCUUAGAGCACUAAACUUACACAGCUGGAUACUUAAAGUCUUUAGGAAGACUUGGAAACAUGGUUUUUUUUGUUUGUUUUUUGUGAGACCACGUUUCUACAGCAGGCUUUGUUACACAUAGUAUCAUUUGUGCUUCAGCCAAACAAUGAAGUUGGUAGAAUUACAAAAUGUUUUCAAUGUUUCCAAGUUAUAAACUUGAUUCCUAGAUAUUGGUCUUAGAGGUCACACAGAGACAGUUCUUCUAAUUCCAAGUCCAUAUCCUUUUUUUUUUUUUAACCCUGCCUCAAAGCGUGAUGUUCUGAGCUGAAAAUUACAUAUAGUGUAAAGAUCCUUAGCAACAUCAAAGGGCAUGAUAGAACACAGCUGGUAAGACAUGUGUUUUAUGCAAAUGAAAGGUAUGCUACACACCUUAAUUACAGAUUCCCUAGUUGUCUAGUGAUUGAGUUUAAUUUUAUUGAAUAUGGUACUUAACAACUAAACAGGUAGGCUUUAGAUUACAGUAUUAGUUAAUUUAAGUAUACACUUGUUAAAUAUCUGUUGUAUGUUUGGCCUUGAGGGACACAAUGAUGACUAAGAUAUUUCCCCUACCUUCAAGAACUCAGCAAUCUAGGGUUGGUGAGUCUCAUGCUUUAGCAUUUGUAAUGUUGAUUUGGGGGCUCCAUUUCCAGAGAUGCUGAAUCAACAUAUACAAGGUGGGAUCCAGGGCCCUUCUGAUGUAACAAGCUCCAUAGAUGAUUACUAUGGGAGUCUCAGCUGUCUAUGUUGAGAAACACUGCAUUAGUCUAGGAGAUGAUAUGUUAAGAGUGUUGAUAUCAGCAACUUGUCAGCAAACUGUUGCAGGACUCUUAGUUUUGCUACAUAUUACCAGUUUAGGCUUGAUUUAUUUUAAAAGCCUGCCAUGUUUAAAACUAAUGCUGGAUACUGGUGGGAAUGUAAAAUGAUGUAGCUCUGUGAAAAAGUUUGUCAGUUCCUAAAAAGUUAAACAUACAAUUACCUUAUAAUCCAGCAAUUUCACUGCUAGGUAUAUCCCAUAAGUAUUGAAAGCAGAGACUCCAACAGAUGCCAGUGUUCAAAGCAAGCAUUAUUUACAAUAGCCAAAAAGUGGAUACAAUCCUAGUAUCCAACAGAUGAAUGGAUAAACAAAAUGUAUGUGAUAUAUACAUAUAAGGAAAUAUUAUCCUGCCAUAAAAAGAAAUGAAAUUGUGAUACAAGCUAUAACAUGGAUGAACCUUGAAAACAUUUUGCUAAGUGAAUAAGCCAAACACAAAUGAGCAUAUAUUGUAUGAUUCCAUUCAUAUGAGGUACCUAGAAUAGGUGAAUUCAUAAGGACAGAAAGUAGAAUAGAGGUUACUAGGGCUGGGGGUAAGGGAGACUGGGGAGUUACUGUUUAAUGGGUGCAGAGUUUCUGUUUGGGAUGAUGAAGUUCUGGAAAUAGAUAGUGGUGAUGUUUGCACAACAUUGUGAAUGUACUUAAUGCCAGUGAAUUGUACACCUAAAAAAUGGGUAAAAUGGUAAAUUUCAUUACAGGUAUUUCACCCCAAUAAUAAAAUAAUAAUGCCAGAAGCUGAAGAGUAAUCAGGACCUCAGGAUUACUCAUAGGUAUGUUACGUCUAAUAUUGGGCACAGGAGAAGCAGAAAAGGGAAGAAGUUGGAGAUUUAGAAACUAGCUCACAAGAAGAAAAAAUAUAGAUUUUUAUUUAAGUGUUUUAGUAAAAGUUUAGCUUUUACUUUUUUUCUCAAUUAUCAAGAAACACAUGUUUUAAAUUUAAAAGAUGGGAGGGAAACUACAUAUUAAUCCUAUUACCUAAAGUUGAUCUUAAAAAAUUUGUCACCUACUGAUAUGGUUUGGAUUUGUGUCCCCACCCAACUGUCAUGUAGAAUUGUAAUCCCCAGUGUUGGAGGAGGGGGCUGGUGGGAGGUGAUUGGAUCAUGGGGGUGGAUUUCUCCCUUGCUGUUCUGAGUGAGUUAUCACGAGAUCUGGUUGUUUAAAAGUGUGUAGCACUUCCCCCUUUGCUCUCUUCCUCCUGCUCCAGCCAUGGAGCAGCCAUGCUCUCUUCCCCUUUGCCUUCCACCAUGUUUGUAAGUUUCCUGUGGCCUCCCCAGCCAUACUUCCUGUACAGCCUGCAGAACCAUGAGCCAAUUAAACCCGCUUUUUUUGUAAAUUACCCAGUCGCAGGUAGUUCUUCAUAGCAAUGUGAGAACGGACUAAUAUACCUACCUAUGUUUUCACUACAUGCCAGGACUUUUCUAAGUACCUUACAAAUUUUGACAUUUAGUGAUCAUAACGAUCUUAUUAGAGAUGUGCUAUUAUUACCAUUUCCGUUUUAUAGAUGAGUAAAUUGAUAUGCAAAGACAUUAAGUUACUUGCCCAAGGCACACUGCUAACUAGGAAGUGGCAGAGUUGAGAUUUUUAGACACUCGCAGUCUGCCUCCAGAAUCCACUCUCUCUUUUUUUUUUUUUUUUUUGAGACGGAGUCUCACUCUGUCGCCCAGACUGGAAUGCAGUGGCGCGAUCUCGGCUCA